AUUGAACGCUGGCGGCAGGCCUAACACAUGCAAGUCGAGCGGAUGAGGGAAGCUUGCUUCCCGAUUUAGCGGCGGACGGGUGAGUAAUGCCUAGGAAUCUGCCUAUUAGUGGGGGAUAACGUUCCGAAAGGAACGCUAAUACCGCAUACGUCCUACGGGAGAAAGUGGGGGAUCUUCGGACCUCACGCUAAUAGAUGAGCCUAGGUCGGAUUAGCUAGUUGGUGAGGUAACGGCUCACCAAGGCGACGAUCCGUAGCUGGUCUGAGAGGAUGAUCAGCCACACUGGAACUGAGACACAGUCCAGACUCCUACGGGAGGCAGCAGUGGGGAAUAUUGGACAAUGGGCGAAAGCCUGAUCCAGCCAUGCCGCGUGUGUGAAGAAGGUCUUCGGAUUGUAAAGCACUUUAAGCGAGGAGGAGGCUACUUUAGUUAAUACCUAGAGAUAGUGGACGUUACUCGCAGAAUAAGCACCGGCUAACUCUGUGCCAGCAGCCGCGGUAAUAC
rnacentral:rRNA from 1 species